rnacentral:rRNA from 1 species
UGGGGAAUAUUGCACAAUGGAGGGAACUCUGAUGCAGCGACGCCGCGUGAACGAAGAAGGCUUUCGAGUCGUAAAGUUCUUUUAUAUGGGAAGAUAAUGACGGUACCAUAAGAAAAAGCCCCGGCUAACUACGUGCCAGCAGCCGCGGUAAUACGUAGGGGGCUAGCGUUGUCCGGAAUCACUGGGCGUAAAGGGUUCGCAGGCGGAAAUGCAAGUCAGGUGUAAAAGGCAGUAGCUUAACUACUGUAAGCAUUUGAAACUGCAUAUCUUGAGAAGAGUAGAGGUAAGUGGAAUUUUUAGUGUAGCGGUGAAAUGCGUAGAUAUUAGAAAGAAUACCGGUGGCGAAGGCGACUUACUGGGCUCAUUCUGACGCUGAGGAACGAAAGCGUGGGUAGCAAACAGG